rnacentral:lncRNA from 1 species
UUUAUAGUUUACUUUUAAAUUUGUAUCAUUUCUUUUUCGUUGUCUAUCGACUAUUAUAAUAUAUUACUCUACAAUACAAUACGUAGCUUGGAACUUCUGAAUAAUAAUUAAUAGUAGUUUUACAUUUAAAAAACUACAAAUUAUUAUGAUCAAUAACUCAUAAGAGUAUGAAUGAAGAUACAGCACUAAAAUGUGACAAGUUUAUUUGAAAUUAAACAAGCACGUUUUCAACAAUGUCUCCAUAGGCAUUACGAAUAUCUCUGAUUUAAAAGUUGCAGAAAGGAAGAAUAAAAUAAAAAAAAAAUUACGUCCAAUGAAAAAGUUGUAACUACUAAAACAAUUUAAAGAGAUGAUGCAUUUUGUCAAGGUUUUGUGGUAAAAGAUACGACCAAAGCUGUUGUGUGAAAGAUGAAGUGUAUAGUAUACUUGUAAGGGUUACGGACUCUGCAACUCUGUAAAUAAUAUAGUAAACAAUAAAACUAAAGAAAUUGAGAAAAUUGAACAUAAUAUUGAAUUGAAUUAAAGUAUAGUACAAAAAAAUCAGGUGGAAUGCAGUACUUACUGACUACAAGUUGACUGGGGUUUGUACAUAACGCAGUAUUCAAUGACGAACAGCCAUCAACAUAUUAACAGUUCAUAUCCAAUUACACUGUGUUAAGUAUUAUAAGAACAAAACCCAUUGAAGAAAUACAUAUUAAACAACCAAAUGUUAACUUGCAGUUUCAGAAAAUUAGUUGCCACUAUUUGAUUCUCUACUUGAAUAGAGAUUAUAGAAUAAAAUAAUUUAUAAAUUAAUAAUUAUUAAAAUGUAUAUCUAUUGAAUGCAUUUGUUGAAAAAUAUAGAGUAAAGUAUGAUGGCCCUA